UCAAUUAAUUAUAAUAAUCUUUUAUAAAAUUAGAAGAUUUACAGCCACCAACCACAAAAUAAUCAAAUGUCACCCACUAAAAUAUGGUGCAUCCACUAAUCGUUUUCUAGCAUGCAUGGUGAUAUUCAGAUUGGAUUCUACACUAUCUAACCACGCUUGUUUAUUGAUAUAUCUUUAGCUCAAAUUGUGAAUUACUAGAUAUAUAGUACCUCCCAUUUUUAUAAGCCAAAUCUAUAGACAUACCAAAUGAUAUACAUAUGUUAUGUAGAGGGUCGUGUUCUUGAGUUUUUGAUACAUUAAAAAAUCUCUUAAAUUUUACUGUUUUAAUCUUCUCUCUCUACAUAAUUCUUAGACCAUUCCAAUG
rnacentral:lncRNA from 1 species